UCUGCCCCCCAAGCACCAACUGUGCAGGCUCGGUGCUCGAGAGCAUUUCCGCUGCCCGCUCUCUGCCUCGUUUUCCCCUCUUGCUGGCUCUGAUUUCUUCACCACCGUGCACACCAGGGGCGGAGGCUCGUCUUCACAGUGGUUGGAAGGAAUCCUUCUUCUUUCGCUCUCCUCAGUUUCGUCCAUGCCUUAAUCUUCAAACAGAAUCAAAUACUCAUUGCCACGGGGUGAGCCCGGGCUGGAAGGGCCCAGGGUUUCUAAGAGCAGGUCUUGCUGUACUGAGGGGGACCCAGCGAGUCUCUCAGCGAGCCUGACGCUAAAUCAUCAGGCUCAAUGAACUCAUUUCAAAGAAAUAUGCAGGUGCUGUUUGACCUUCAGACAUGUGGACUGGCAGAGCAAGUGAAAGUCUCAGCUGCUCCCGUAAUGUGAACUGGACAGGUGGGAUUGCAUCCCUGGUAACCAGCGCUGUGACAGUCUGCCUCAGGGUGGACCCAGGAAGCUCGUUAGACCUAGCUGUCCGCUCAAGUAACUGAAAUGACUAGGGAAAAUUCAGAGGAGAAAAUGGAAGCGAUUCCGUGAGACUCAGUGACCCACACUCAGAUGGCAUCCUGAGCUGUAUGCUGGGUUACCAAGUGACAGUGAAUGUACUGUGCUCAGAAGCGAAGCGAGGCUCCUCCUGGCCUCUCUGCUACAAACCUCACGAAGACCCCGUGGCGUCCUCAGGCCUGGUGCUCCAGCUGCUGCAUCGGACCGGCAGGAGGGUGCAAGGUCCUAGGAGGACAGUGGA